rnacentral:misc_RNA from 1 species
GAUGAAGAACGCAGCGAAAUGCGAUAAGUAGUGUGAAUUGCAGAAUUCAGUGAAUCAUCGAAUCUUUGAACGCACAUUGCGCCCGCCAGUAUUCUGGCGGGCAUGCCUGUUCGAGCGUCAUUUCAACCAUCAAGCCCCCGGCUUGUGUUGGGGACCUGCGGCUGCCGCAGGCCCUGAAAACCAGUGGCGGGCUCGCUAGUCACUCCGAGCGUAGUAGUUACAUCUCGCUCAGGGCGUGCUGCGGGUUCCGGCCGUUAAAAGCCUUAUUUACCCAAGGUUGACCUCGGAUCAGGUAGGAAGACCCGCUGAACUUAAGCAUAUCAAUAAGCGGAGGA